GAUGAACGCUGGCGGCGUGCCUAAUACAUGCAAGUCGAGCGAACAGACGAGGAGCUUGCUUCUCUGACGUUAGCGGCGGACGGGUGAGUAACACGUGGAUAACCUACCUAUAAGACUGGGAUAACUUCGGGAAACCGGAGCUAAUACCGGAUAAUAUGUUGAACCGCAUGGUUCAAUAGUGAAAGACGGUUUUGCUGUCACUUAUAGAUGGAUCCGCGCCGCAUUAGCUAGUUGGUAAGGUAACGGCUUACCAAGGCAACGAUGCGUAGCCGACCUGAGAGGGUGAUCGGCCACACUGGAACUGAGACACGGUCCAGACUCCUACGGGAGGCAGCAGUAGGGAAUCUUCCGCAAUGGGCGAAAGCCUGACGGAGCAACGCCGCGUGAGUGAUGAAGGUCUUCGGAUCGUAAAACUCUGUUAUUAGGGAAGAACAAAUGUGUAAGUAACUAUGCACGUCUUGACGGUACCUAAUCAGAAAGCCACGGCUAACUACGUGCCAGCAGCCGCGGUAAUACGUAGGUGGCAAGCGUUAUCCGGAAUUAUUGGGCGUAAAGCGCGCGUAGGCGGUUUUUUAAGUCUGAUGUGAAAGCCCACGGCUCAACCGUGGAGGGUCAUUGGAAACUGGAAAACUUGAGUGCAGAAGAGGAAAGUGGAAUUCCAUGUGUAGCGGUGAAAUGCGCAGAGAUAUGGAGGAACACCAGUGGCGAAGGCGACUUUCUGGUCUGUAACUGACGCUGAUGUGCGAAAGCGUGGGGAUCAAACAGGAUUAGAUACCCUGGUAGUCCACGUCGUAAACGAUGAGUGCUAAGUGUUAGGGGGUUUCCGCCCCUUAGUGCUGCAGCUAACGCAUUAAGCACUCCGCCUGGGGAGUACGACCGCAAGGUUGAAACUCAAAGGAAUUGACGGGGACCCGCACAAGCGGUGGAGCAUGUGGUUUAAUUCGAAGCAACGCGAAGAACCUUACCAAAUCUUGACAUCCUCUGACCCCUCUAGAGAUAGAGUUUUCCCCUUCGGGGGACAGAGUGACAGGUGGUGCAUGGUUGUCGUCAGCUCGUGUCGUGAGAUGUUGGGUUAAGUCCCGCAACGAGCGCAACCCUUAAGCUUAGUUGCCAUCAUUAAGUUGGGCACUCUAAGUUGACUGCCGGUGACAAACCGGAGGAAGGUGGGGAUGACGUCAAAUCAUCAUGCCCCUUAUGAUUUGGGCUACACACGUGCUACAAUGGACAAUACAAAGGGCAGCGAAACCGCGAGGUCAAGCAAAUCCCAUAAAGUUGUUCUCAGUUCGGAUUGUAGUCUGCAACUCGACUAUAUGAAGCUGGAAUCGCUAGUAAUCGUAGAUCAGCAUGCUACGGUGAAUACGUUCCCGGGUCU
rnacentral:rRNA from 1 species